rnacentral:hammerhead_ribozyme from 1 species
GUCCUGAAGAGUCUUAAAUAAGACGAAACGCGCGUCCAGGAU